AGAAGAGUGCACCAAAAGGCUACUGGAAAAAUGGAAGUAUAGAUUCCAUGGACUCAUGCAGCCAACAUAUACUCUGAUAGUCAAAGUUAGGGGAGCUUUGUUCUUACACGGCACAUCCAAAGUCCAAAAGCUGAUCAUGAACAGUUCGUUCCACUCUCCAACCGAUGUGAGAUCUCACAAUCCACCCCCUUUGAGUGUCAGUGUCUUCGGUGACACACCGCCCGAUAUUUGACUCUGAUACCAUUCAUAACCGCCCAAGCCUACCAUCAGCAGAUAUUGUCUACUUUGGUCUAUUGCGUAUCGCAGCCAGCCUUAUGAUUUUAAAACUCGUCUACUAAGGAGAGAUUUCUACGCUCAUAUAAGGAAUGUUUUAUUCUCUAUCCAACUGAUGUGAGAUUUUGAACUCAAAAUUUCAAUACUUUCGCGAGAUAUUUGAAAAAGGUACGCACAUUUAUGAUAGCUAUUCAUGCUUAUUGAAAAACUUAUUUUUUUUUUCCUCUCCGACAUACAUCAACAACCAUGGACUGCUUGCUUGCCUGAAGCAGGAAUUUUGUUUAGUCCCCGUUUUUGACCAAACUUUCAUAUCUCUUCACAUUAAAUUAUAAGAUAUGAAAGAGAUGAGAGUUGCCCACAUUCAAUGAUACACUGUUUAAUGGAAAAUGAAUGCAUUGUUUGUCAUUAUUUUAAG